rnacentral:lncRNA from 1 species
ACUUCCGGCUUCCCUGCUCCCACAAAAUGGUAGCCGCCGUGGGGGAUGUCCAGUUUUUUUUCCUCUUCCCAAGUACAGACGCAGAGCAGACUUGUCUUUCCGCUUAACCUCAACCUCGUGUGAUCUGCCAGUUUCGCUCCCGGUUAGCCCAGGACUUUUUAUAGCAUAGAGUUUUAAAGCAAGGGCUUAGAAUCAGACCUGGGUCAAAAUCCUGCCUUCCACCUUCACCAAGGCAGUGUGACCUUGACGUUCCUACAUAAGAGAUUAAAAUGUAAACCCUUAGCCCUGAGCUUGUUUUAGAAUCUGGGCCCCGUCCAUGACUGCUUCUAUUCUAUUGCGGUACGGGGGUGGGGUGGGGGUGGGGAACUACAUGCAUGUCCACUCAGUAUACUGAAACUGGUUACAUUGAUGGAAAACUUCCAAAGCUUCUUGAAAUAAAGACGCCAAAUUCCAGCGAAACAGCUGAUGCCAGCCAGCUUGAAGACCCCUGCCACAGAAGAAGGGAAUCAGCAUGAGAAUACAGCUUCUUCAUCUCGCUGUCCCAUGACUUCGCCCUGUACUC